AUGCAGAGUUUGGGAACGUUACUGGUAAUCUUUCCUUUCCUUUGUGAUGAUGAUAUCUCAGCAGUGGCAAUAAAAUUUUCUGAGCUUAGUAGACUUUUAUCUGAAACCACUAAGUCCAUUGUAUUACUCACAUGGGAAGAAAAAAAAAAAAAAAAAAAGCACAGACAAUUCCCUGGGUCUAAACCAUAUGUGUAGACAACAACAUGAGGAAUGAAUGAAAAACAUUUCAGCAGGGAUUCCUCUUCAUUCAUUUUCCAAUACUGCUUCUUUCUUUCAUUCUUCAAAAUACUCUAUAAACUCCUGAGUAAACUCUGACCAUUGCUACUCACAAUGCUUGUAUCUCAUCUCAUCUUGUGGGAAAAUCAUUUGUGGUUUUGAGUCUGAGUAUAAACUUUCUGACAUGUGUUUACAAGCUGACAUUUUUUAAACAGCACACAUAGACAUCAACUGCUUUCUGCUUCACCACUUCACUCUGACAAUCCUGAAACACCCAAACUGCAGCUGAUCAAAGCCUGUGACAAAGCUCUGCAUGGAGGCAGGUGAGAAAGAUAGAGACAACUACUACAGCUGUAUGGAACUGUAGAAGCAGCUGUAUCUCUCUGAAAUUUCCUCUGCUUUUAACUUUAACAUCAAUUUUUUCAAGCAAGUUUGGAAUUGUUUAACGUGGCUUGCAAAACUUUUAAUCUGAAAUUCAAAUUCAUUACCUGCAUUUGGAUUUCAUUACAGACAUGACCUGGAGCCAUGGCUUGUACAUUUUCCUAAUUACAUAAAUCAGUCGAAUGAGCUUCUGCAGUAUACAUUUCCCAACAGCACCAUGAGAACCUCAGUGUUUCUCAUGAAGUCAGUUGAGACAAAACACAACAGCUUUUGAGGAAUACCGAGGAAGGAGAAAAGAGAUACAAUACAGAAAAUAAUGAAUGGCUUAAUGAAGGCAUAGCAAGAAAUUCAUCACUUUUUCUUGUAAUGUCAGCAUGGGUAAGGUAGUUACCCUAUAAACAUAAUUGAAUAAACUGCAGAAUGGUAAGAAAGAGUGUAAUUUU
rnacentral:lncRNA from 1 species